ACAUGUUGAAGUCCCUUUGGGAGGAACGCCAAUUUGUUCAUAUUUAUCAAUUGAAACUCCCGCAGGCUUCUAAGGUACUGCCAUUGUAUAUCAUCAGACAAAUCGAGCUCCUCACAAGCCUUGAUGAGAAGACCCUCAAGGGAGGGUAGAUGCCACAAAUCCUCCGGCAGAACUUCUAGAUCCUCAAUGUUCUCAAUCUGCAGAAUUUUCAAUUGAGAAGGG
rnacentral:misc_RNA from 1 species